CCUACGGGAGACAGCAGUGGGGAAUAUUGCACAAUGGGGGAAACCCUGAUGCAGCGACGCCGCGUGAGUGAAGAAGUAUCUCGGUAUGUAAAGCUCUAUCAGCAGGGAAGAAAGUGACGGUACCUGACUCAGAAGCCCCGGCUAACUACGUGCCAGCAGCCGCGGUAAUACGUAGGGGGCAAGCGUUAUCCGGAUUUACUGGGUGUAAAGGGAGCGCAGACGGCGCUGCAAGUCCGGAGUGAAAGCCCAGGGCUUAACCCUGGUACUGCUCUGGAAACUGGGGGGCUUGAGUGUGGGAGGGGGAGGCAGAAUUCCUAGUGGAGCGGUGAAAUGCGUAGAGAUUAGGAGGAACACCGGUGGCGAAGGCGGCCUGCUGGACCGUAACUGACGUUGAGGCGCGAAAGCGUGGGGAGCAAACAGGAUUAGAUACCCCUGUAGUC
rnacentral:rRNA from 1 species